rnacentral:tRNA from 1 species
GUCUCAAUAGCUCAGUGGAUAGAGCUCUGUUACUUUACGCCAGAGGCCCUUGGUUUGAGUCCGGAUUGAGACC